GGUGGGGAUUGCCUCAGCAUUUUCCAGUGAAGGCAUCUGUAUUGGAAUCUGGAUAUUAGCUGUGUCUUACAUAGGAGCUCUGUGUUCACUCUCAGAACGUGACAAGAAAGUCUUCCACAGGCUGGCAUUCAGAAACCCACUGAUAAAAUACGGCAGUGCUCUACAAAUCUUAUCAGUAACAAAGGUGACCCUGGGACUUUCCUAUAUGGCAGCUUUUUUGGGACUGGGAACUGUGGCAACUAUCAACAAAGAUUUAAAAUUAAUUAAUUAAAUGGAGACUACACUUUGUUUUAUCUGGAGACCAAUAGGAGCAGCCAUAGAAAACAACCAGCCUAAUACACAGCCUUAAAUCAGCUGGCACUCUGAGGCCCGGAUAGCUGAAGUGGCAGCUGAUCCCAUGUGCCAGAGCUGCCCUGUCCUGCAUCAGCAGACAGGAGACUGUGCAUGCUCUGAUGGAGACAACACUGCGAAUACAGGCUGCUGUAGCUGUUAUCAUGGAAAGUACAUAUUCACACUGGCUCCACUGUCAGAUAGUAUAAAGCCAGAGAAAAUGCCACAAAAGAUAAGCCAUACACCUCUUUGUUCAUUCCACUUGUUUAAAUGGUUGUCUGCUCUGCUUUGCUUUGUGAGGUCUUUAUCAGAGUCAUUCAUACAAAAAGCAUCAGUCUGCUUCUGAUAAGUAUUUCUGAGAUGAUUACUGCUGGAGUGUUGCUAGGAGCAUUUAGUAUGAAACAAUGAGCAAUCAACAACAAGUGAUUUAUCCACUUACCUAUUAAGAUAUUUAGUUAAAUUCAGGUCCUUCUGCUUGUUUGUUUCUGAAUUACAGCUUCAUCUGCUCCUAAAAACAUUACCUCUUGGAAUUGUCUGAGCACUUCAGAUCUUACUACCCUGUGCUCAGGAUGGAUCAGGACCUAG